rnacentral:lncRNA from 1 species
AUCUGAAGCAGAAACAAGAUAUGUCUGACAUGUUUUUGAAGAUCAUUCUGGUGCUAGCUGGUGUGUUUAUUAAGAUCAUGUGUGAGGUUGGUAUGGGCAAGAGUGGAUGCAAUUAAGGUUUUUGUAUUGGUCUUAUUGGAGAUCUGAACAUUGGACUAGUGGUACUUGUGGAGUGGAGAAAAGAAGAUAGAUUUUGGACAGCUUAUGAAGUUAGAGAUCAAAGGACUUAGUUGCUGGACUACUUGGCUUGGGUAUGGUGGCAAGAUAGAGGGGAAUGAGUAGUAAAGAGGAAUUCUUAGCUUUUUAGCUUAAGAAAUUUUCUUUGAACAUUUUUAAAACAUUAAGAUUCCCUAGACAACUCUAUCAUUUUCUUUUUUCAUUCUAUCUUUUUUUUGGGGGGAGGGGUGGUACCAUUAAUUCUUUUUAUGGUUCAUCUGUCACCUAUAACAAGAAGAUUCUUCCAAUUUCCAUUCCAUAUUUCCUACUGUCUCCUGGCCAUUCCCACAUGAUUUCCCAUAUAUUUGAAAUGGACUUCCUUUUUCCAACCAUAUCUUUUAUUUAUUUCCUCUAAGUAUUUUCCUCACCCCAGUUAUCCAAACUAAAAAUUUAGAAAUUAGCUUCUCCUUUUCUUCAUUUCCACUUUUCGAUUGCACUCCUCCUGGAAGCCAGAAAUUGUGGUAGAUAAUGGAUCUAUAUCACAGAACAUAAUAGGGAGCACACAUUGGGAAU